UCUUCCCAUAAAAUUAAGGCUUUGGGCACAACCUUUUCCAAUCCAUAGUGCCCCCCCCUUUUUUUUUUUUGCUAGAGUACAGAAUGAAUGUGCAAGUGUUGGAUUUAUGGGCUGGAAACCCCCCAAAAGGCCUCCAUUGUUGAAAGGAAGAAGGAGCUCCGGACGUUGUUUAGAAGUCAGACCUCAUUACAGGUAGUCCUCACUUAGUGACUAUGAGUGAAGUCAUUGUCAGCCUUCCUGGUAGGACAGGCAAGGAAACAUAAUCAGGUGAUCUAAUUCUACUUUUAUUAUAAGGCUACAUUAACAGAAUCUUGCAAGUCUGAAAGUACAACUCUCCCGCCAUCUCUUUUACAGCCUGGGAAGUUAAGAAGGAUCCUUUCUGAGUUUCUUUCUCUGCGCGUUAUGCAGCUGAAGGCUGUACCCUCUUUUAUCUGGUUGUUCUCAAGGCUGCCUCUCUCCCCAGCCCAUUCCCUCUCCCAAAGUCAUUCCCACAUACCAUUUUACAUUUGCCAAGUGAAACAUCAGGUGACUCAAUGGGCUCACAGUGUCACUUUCCAUUCAGCUGUUAAGCGAAACAUGACAUGAUGAACAACUCGCAAUUUUACCACUGGCUUCUGCUUAUUGGAAGCUGGCAGUGAAGUGUGCAGGUGACUGUGGGAGGCUGCAACAGUUGUAGAUUCAAGAGCUGGUGCAAAGUGACUUUUUCAGUGCUGCUGAAACUUCAAACGGUCUCAAAAGCAGGAUAGUCAUUAAGUGAGAUCUACCUCUAGGUCAGGGGUUUCCAACCUUGACAACUUUAAGCCUUGUGGACUUCAACUUCCAGAGUUCCUUAGCCACUUGGCUGAGUAACUCUGGGAGUUGAAGUCCACAAGUCUUAAAGUUGCCAAGGUUGGAGACCCCGGCUCUUCUAGGUAAUCUUCCCUGACCCAUCCUAGUUUUCCUGAAUAUCUGCAACUCUUUCUUUGGCCAGUUGGUGGUGCUGAAGGAAGUGGACUUUGACAACAUUUGUUGGUUGUGACCAUCCUAUCCUAGCUAUGAAAACUGAUUUCUUCACACACAAAUCCCUGACCAACAUUGAAUGAAUCUUCUUGAGAGUUGGAUGAAAGUAUUCCAAAGAGACCUUUGGCCUAAAUUUGGAAGGCAGAUACCAACGGGUGGGUGAAAUUGUAUCUCCUGUUACAUUGCAGACGUGAGAGGAUAUUUAGAAUCUUGGUCUAGGUCUAGGACAAGGGUCUUCAAACUUGGCAAGUUUAAAACUUGUGGGCUUCAACUCCCAGAAUUCCUGAGCUAACAUGACUAGAGGAGGAAUUCUGGGAGUUGAAGUCCAUAAGUCUUAAAGCUAUCAGUUUGAAGAUCCCUGAUCUAGUAUGUUUCUCAACCGUAGGAACUUCAAGAUGAAUGGAUUUCCAACUCCUGGCUGGGGAAUUUGGAGAAUUGAAGUCCACACAUCUUAAAAGUUGCUAUAGUUGAGAAACAUUAGGAUGUCAGGUUGACUUUCCUUCCCAUAAUUCCCCUAGAAGUCAUCCCGGCACAGCCCUUUUCAGGGGCAGGAUUAUGGGAAUGUCAGAAUUAUAACUGGCUUGUCCUCUUUUCAGCUGAUUCCAUCUUCUGCUCUCCUUGUUAAAAUACCCUGCAGUUUUUCUAUUCCCCAAACGGAAAUGACAAAAAAAAAAGUGCCAGUUACAACUUAGUUUGUAGAGCCAAAGCUAUAACCGUGAGAGAGACCCUCAAUCUAGAUUCAGGUCUUGUACAGCAGUUCAGACACUGGAUGAAAUUAAAAUCCCAUUUAGCUGUACAGAUUUGCUGCUGCUUUCCCUUGAAAUGCUGAAAGCCAGAAUAUUUGGAAGGAAAACAAUGCUUCAAUAAAAUAGAGCUUUCUCUACUGUAUAUUUUAAUCGCUUGAUAAGUAGAGCCCUCUCCAAAAUCCCUGUAAGUAACACAAAUAAAAGCUCAUUUGAUGUUUUCCCUCCCCUGUAUAUAAAGCUGUCUGCCCUAUUCAUUCAUUUGCAGGGAAUUUCAUGUUUUGCAACUAUGGCCUUAUAUUCCUGAUCAGCUUGAACACAUUUCGAAUUACAGUUGCUGUGCCAAUAUAUGCCUUUUGCAUCUUGUUAUGUUGGAGACAGAGGCCAAAUGCUUUGUUACAUAUAUAUAUAUAUAUUAAAGAAGCCAAAUGCUAUAUUUG